GCAUAAUAAUUUGCCUCUUAAUUAGUGGCUAGUAUGAAUGGAAGCACGUGGUUUCAACUUUUACAGUUUUACCCCUAAAACCUAUCCUUUAGGUGAAGAGACCUAAAUCCAAAUAAAGGACAAGAAGACCCUGUCGAGCUUUAUAAGGACUUUUCACAUAUGAAAUUUACACUUAUUUGGUUGGGGCGACCUGAGAACAUAAUAAACUUCUCUCAAUCCCUAGAUUUAAGUAUCAUAAUAGCGACCCUCCCAUGGUCUCUAACUAAGCUACCGCAGGGAUAACAGGCUAAUCCUCCUUAAGAGCCCAAAUUGACAGGAGGGU
rnacentral:rRNA from 1 species